CACGUAGGGCGCAAGCGUUUGUCCGGAAUUAUUGGGCGUAAAGGGCUCGUAGGCGGCGUGUCGCGUCGGGAGUGAAAGCCCGUUGCUUAACGGCGGGUUGGCUUUCGGUACGGGCAGUGCUGGAGUGCGGCAGGGGAGACUGGAAUUCCUGGUGUAGCGGUGGAAUGCGCAGAUAUCAGGAGGAACACCGGUGGCGAAGGCGGUUCUCUGGGCCUGUACUGACGUGAGGAGCGAAAGCGUGGGGGAGCGAACAGG
rnacentral:rRNA from 1 species